GGGGAAUUUUGGACAAUGGGCGCAAGCCUGAUCCAGCAAUGCCGCGUGCAGGAUGAAGGCCUUCGGGUUGUAAACUGCUUUUGUACGGAACGAAAAGCCUCUCUCUAAUACAGGGGGGUGAUGACGGUACCGUAACAAUAAGCACCGGCUAACUACGUGCCAGCAGCCGCGGUAAUACGUAGGGUGCAAGCGUUAAUCGGAAUUACUGGGCGUAAAGCGUGCGCAGGCGGUUUUGUAAGACAGUGGUGAAAUCCCCGGGCUCAACCUGGGAACUGCCAUCGUGACUGCAAGGCUGGAGUGCGGCAGAGGGGGGUGGAAUUCCACGUGUAGCAGUGAAAUGCGUAGAGAUGUGGAGGAACACCAAUGGCGAAGGCAGCCCCCUGGGUCGAUACUGACGCUCAUGCACGAAAGUGUGGGGAGCAAACA
rnacentral:rRNA from 1 species